rnacentral:rRNA from 1 species
UCUGACCUACGGGGCGCAGCAGUGAGGAAUAUUGGUCAAUGGGCGGGAGCCUGAACCAGCCAAGCCGCGUGAAGGAAGAAGGCGCCAGGCGUCGUAAACUUCUUUUGUCGGGGAACAAAGGGCGCCACGCGUGGCGUUGUGAGUGUACCCGAAGAAAAAGCAUCGGCUAACUCCGUGCCAGCAGCCGCGGUAAUACGGAGGAUGCGAGCGUUAUCCGGAUUUAUUGUGUUUAAAGGGUGCGUAGGCGGUCUGGAACGUCAGCUGUAAAAGCCCUGGGCUCAACCCCGGCGCGC